rfam:Clostridium sp. CAG:273 genomic scaffold, scf306
GGGGAUGUAUUUGGUUUCGACAGUAUCCUAGAAGUAUAAACGGCAAGUAGUGGAGUUGCCUGGCCACUUAAAAAGGCAAAAUUUAAAUAUAAACGCUGAUAAUAGAGAAUUAGCAUACGCUGCCUAGUUUUAGCAGCGACGUCUUACUUUAAAUGCCCACGUUUUUAGAUAAGGCGACGAUUAGUGGGAAACAAAGCUAUUUUUUGCUACAAAAAUAGUAGGUAAUUUAGUAGCUACUUUAAUAUAAAGUUUGUUUGUUAACUUUAUAUUAAGGGAAUUUUAAUAAUAAACUAAACUUGUAGAUGUUUAUAUGGAAAGAAUAUUGGAAAGGAGUUCGACUCUCCUCAUCUCCACCA